rnacentral:rRNA from 1 species
GAUGAACGCUGGCGGCGUGCCUAAUACAUGCAAGUCGAGCGAACAGACGAGGAGCUUGCUCCUCUGACGUUAGCGGCGGACGGGUGAGUAACACGUGGAUAACCUACCUAUAAGACUGGGAUAACUUCGGGAAACCGGAGCUAAUACCGGAUAACAUGUUGAACCGCAUGGUUCAACAGUGAAAGACGGUCUUGCUGUCACUUAUAGAUGGAUCCGCGCCGCAUUAGCUAGUUGGUAAGGUAACGGCUUACCAAGGCAACGAUGCGUAGCCGACCUGAGAGGGUGAUCGGCCACACUGGAACUGAGACACGGUCCAGACUCCUACGGGAGGCAGCAGUAGGGAAUCUUCCGCAAGGGGCGAAAGCCUGACGGAGCAACGCCGCGUGAGUGAUGAAGGUCUGCGGAUCGUAAAACUCUGUUAUUAGGGAAGAACAAAUGUGUAAGUAACUAUGCACGUCUUGACGGUACCUAAUCAGAAAGCCACGGCUAACUACGU